rnacentral:rRNA from 1 species
CAACUUUUAACAACGGAUCUCCUGGUUCUCGCAUCGAUGAAGAACGUAGCAAAGUGCGAUAACUAGUGUGAAUUGCAUAUUCAGUGAAUCAUCGAGUCUUGGAACGCAACUUGCGCUCAAUGGUAUUCCAUUGAGCACGCCUGUUUCAGUAUCAAA